GCACAGAUCGUCUGACUUGCCAAACUGUUCAGCCUUCUCAAGUAAUAUACUGAGCAAAUGCCAUUUUAGUCAUGAGAAAGACAAUCCCAGCCAUAGGAUUUAGAUGCCUAACAAUCAUUCCUCGAAGGGUAUUUUGAAAUACAAUGCCUGGGAAUGCUUCAAUCAGUUAGUGGAUAUUAGCUGAUAGAUCCUGUUUGAUCAAUCAGUGUACCAACUUGCUCUCCACAUAAAGCUUUUGA
rnacentral:misc_RNA from 1 species